GUUCUUUCAGCAGUCUCAUUCAGUGUUUCACCCUACUGCAGCCGAAACACAGGAAAGCAACGGAAACAUGUGGAAUCCUGCAGUUAAAAUUCAGAAAAUCACCACAGGGGAAACUUUUGGUGCAGAUGCAGUUUUUAUGAACCAAGUCAGGAGAACAGUGAAGCUGGAGGAAACAAAGGGGAAUGCUCAACACAUCAUUCUUUUCUGUCCAAUCACCUCUCGAGUUGGCUCGGACGUGGAGGCAGCCUUGGAAAAUGUGGCAUAUGGUCAAAGGGUCAUCCUGGUUCUGAUGCACCACACCCGAGAUGCUGACUAUUCAACAGCUGGCAGAAGGUGGUCUGAAACCACUGAAAAGGUCGCCUUGGAUGUUCACAUUCUCUAUCACGAAAGUGUCCAAGGAUUGCUACGCUGUGCACAAAACGAUGUGGCAGUGUCACAAAUGCAAACAUUUUUAUCACGAAACCAAAAUAAUUCAGUUGUGAAUUUGGUCUGGGGUUUGUAUGGGUUUUACUGUUCGCUGUUGCUUUGGAUUUUGUCUCUGGUCUGUCCCUGGACGAGGCUUUGGAAUUGGUCCUGCAAACUGGUUUCCCGUUUGGUUUCAGGUGUGGUGCUUUACAUACGAAAACCAAGAGUGAUUAAAGAAAAUCUUCCUUAACAAUAAAAUUUAAAUGUACAUAUAGAGUUUCUUGCCUAAUGUGUCUUGCACACACACAGACAUUGCCAUUUGAACCCUGUUUAUACAGGCAUAGGUAAAGACACAAAGAAAACGAACUGCAGCAAAAUCAGAGGUAUUAUCAUUAUGUAGAGGUACAGAAAUGUAGAAAUCUGACAUUGUUUUUAACAUAAACAAGCUCCCGUGCACAUAAACCAUAACCUGACCAAACAUAUGCCAAAUGCUUUCACUAUGAAAUUAGACUGAGGAAAAAAAGUAAUAUUUAAAUAUUGAUUUUGCAAUUAAUAAACCAUGUUCUACUGCAGUGUUUUUGACUGUAAAUCUGGUAUGAUAAAUUGUUUA